GACGAACGCUGGCGGCGUGCUUAACACAUGCAAGUCGAACGGUGAAGGGAUCAGCUUGCUGGUUCUGGAUGAGUGGCGAACGGGUGAGUAACACGUGAGUAACCUGCCCCCUUCUUCUGGAUAACCGCAUGAAAGUGUGGCUAAUACGGGAUAUUCUGGGUCUGUCGCAUGAUGGGUCUGGGAAAGAUAUUGUUUCGGUGGGGGAUGGGCUCGCGGCCUAUCAGCUUGUUGGUGGGGUGAUGGCCUACCAAGGCGGUGACGGGUAGCCGGCGUGAGAGGGUGGACGGUCACACUGGGACUGAGACACGGCCCAGACUCCUACGGGAGGCAGCAGUGGGGAAUAUUGCACAAUGGGCGCAAGCCUGAUGCAGCGACGCCGCGUGAGGGAUGGAGGCCUUCGGGUUGUAAACCUCUUUCGCCAGUGAAGCAGGCCUGCUCCUUGUGGGUGGGUUGACGGUAGCUGGAGAAGAAGCGCCGGCUAACUACGUG
rnacentral:rRNA from 1 species